rnacentral:rRNA from 1 species
UACGGAGGGGGCUAGCGUUGUUCGGAAUUACUGGGCGUAAAGCGCGCGUAGGCGGACCUGCAAGUCGGGGGUGAAAGCCCGAGGCUCAACCUCGGAACUGCCUUCGAUACUGCGGGUCUCGAGUCCGGGAGAGGUGAGUGGAAUUCCUAGUGUAGAGGUGAAAUUCGUAGAUAUUCGCAAGAACACCAGUGGCGAAGGCGGCUCACUGGCCCAGAACUGACGCUGAGACGCGAAAGCGUGGGGAGCAAACAGG